GCCGUAUGUGGUGGCACAUGCCUGUACUCCCAGCUACUCGGGAGGCUGAGGCGGGAGGAUCGCUUGAGCCCAGGAGUUCUGGGCGGUAGGGCGCUAUGCCAAUCGGGUGUCUGCACGAAGUUCGGCAUCCGUAUGGUGACCUCCCGGGAGCGGGGUACCACCAGUUUUCCUAAGGAGGGGUGAACCGGCCCAGGUCAGAAAUGGAGCAGGUCAAAACUCACCUGCUGAUCAGUAGUGGGAUCGCGUCUGUGAAUAGCCAUUGCACACCUGCCUGACCAGCAUGGUGAGCGCCCGUCUCC
rnacentral:SRP_RNA from 1 species